AAUGAAUUGCUUAUUGCACCACAUGUGUUUUUCUUUGAAACAAACUUGCUUUGGCGGUGGGCCCAGCCUGCCGCCAGAGGUCUAAACUUACAACCAAUUUUUUAUCAACUUGUCACACCAGAUUAUUACUAAUAGUCAAAACUUUCAACAACGGAUCUCUUGGUUCUCGCAUCGAUGAAGAACGCAGCGAAAUGCGAUACGUAAUAUGAAUUGCAGAUAUUCGUGAAUCAUCGAAUCUUUGAACGCACAUUGCGCCCUCUGGUAUUCCGGAGGGCAUGCCUGUUUGAGCGUCGUUUCUCCCUCAAACCGCUGGGUUUGGUGUUGAGCAAUACGACUUGGGUUUGCUUGAAAGACGGUAGUGGUAAGGCGGGAUCGCUUUGACAAUGGCUUAGGUCUAACCAAAAACAUUGUUUGCGGCGGUAACGUCCACCACGUAUAUCUUCAAACUUUGACCUCAAAUCAGGUAGGACUACCCGCUGAACUUAAGCAUAUCAAAAGCCGGAGGAA
rnacentral:rRNA from 1 species